ACGAACGCUGGCGGCGUGCUUAACACAUGCAAGUCGAACGGAAAGGCCCUGCUUUUGUGGGGUGCUCGAGUGGCGAACGGGUGAGUAACACGUGAGUAACCUGCCCUUGACUUUGGGAUAACUUCAGGAAACUGGGGCUAAUACCGGAUAGGAGCUCCUGCUGCAUGGUGGGGGUUGGAAAGUUUCGGCGGUUGGGGAUGGACUCGCGGCUUAUCAGCUUGUUGGUGGGGUAGUGGCUUACCAAGGCUUUGACGGGUAGCCGGCCUGAGAGGGUGACCGGCCACAUUGGGACUGAGAUACGGCCCAGACUCCUACGGGAGGCAGCAGUGGGGAAUAUUGCUCAAUGGGCGGAAGCCUGAUGCAGCAACGCCGCGUGCGGGAUGACGGCCUUCGGGUUGUAAACCGCUUUCGCCUGUGACGAAGCGUGAGUGACGGUAAUGGGUAAAGAAGCACCGGCUAACUACGUG
rnacentral:rRNA from 1 species